rnacentral:lncRNA from 1 species
GGGUAUUUGACCUACACAAUCCAGAACAUUCCAACUUAUAAAGAGGGAGGAGCUGCGUUUCCUGUUUGGUUGUUUCCAUAUGUUACUAAGUUUUGAAUCUGGAGGUAAACAUGCAUCCCAAAUAAAGCAAGCAGUAUCUGAAGCACACACUCUCGCCAACAAAUCCAUUUCGUGUUCUCAACAUGAGUUCUGCUUUUCUUUUUCUUUUUUCUUUUUUAAUGUGCAUGUGUGCUCAUAUGUGUGGGUGCAUAUGUGCCUUUCAUUUUGUUUCAGACAGGGUCUCCUCUUGUUCUCACUGUGUAUAGCAGGCUAACUUGCCUGGUCUCCCAUCUUGUAGAAGGAUGGUAAUGUGUGCUAUCAUGUCUGGCUUUACACGAGAACUCGGGCCCUCUUAUUUGCACAACAAGCACUUUAUCUCCUGAGCUAUCUCUCUAUCCUGUGUUCUUCUAAAAUAACAUUGUAUCUCUGGGGCUAUGGUUGUCUAAAAUGAGAAUGGCACUGCUCUGAUUUGUAAAGACAUCUUUUACUUCAAGCAACUGGCCCUUUAGAUUGUCUUGAUUCUGACCAGUGGCAAGCCACUGUCAGAAAUAAAAACAACAGGGCUGUCAGGUGUUGAAGCAGAGGGGUGAUUCUUGUCAGAGUUUCAAGUAGCUUAGAGGCAAGACCUAUCUAGACAGGGGAAAGUCCAGGGAUGGUGUCAGCCCAGGCAAGGAGAAGGUAGAAUAUCCCGUGAGCAGUCUGACCUUUUGUUAGGUCUCAGACUGUCUCAUCAAUCUCUGGAGGAGCGAUGCAGCAGGUGGACCUGGCAUCACAUAGCCUUAGCUAUGUGAAAAGCUAGGUAUACUUGUGUGAACCUGUAGCUCCAGCACUUGAAGAGAUUGAGAUGGGAGGAUAACGGAGGCUUGCUGGCCAUGAGCCUACCACUAAGUUCAGAGAGAUAUCAACCUUGUCUCAAGGAAAUAAAAAGAUCAUUGAGCAGGACAUUCGAUGUCCUCUUGUGGCCUUACCACAUACAUAGGUGUAUGUGUAUACUUUGUGCAUGUACAGAUACACACGCAGACAGACAGACACACAGACCUCAAAAUCUCUUGGAAUUUACCUCUGAAGAGGAAGAUGCAUGCACUCUUUUGUAUAAUUUUAGCAAGUUUAAGCUAUUUUUGAUUCUUAGACUAAAGACUCUUGGAGUGAAGAAUAGGGUGUGGAUAAGAUGGGACAUGACUUAGAGAGCUUUACUCUGUCUCCCCGCCUGUCCCUUCCCUGUCACAUGGAUUUGACCCAUGAGCCUGUCACAGACUCAACUUGUUGCCACAUGGUCUGCUCAGAGGAAACCUCUUCACUUCUUUUCAAACACUGAGAGAAGCUCAAGGACAGUCAGUGAUGUCAAUAGGUCACCUGCCUAGGUCACCAUGUUAGUUUUGCUUCCUUAACAAAAUAAGAUUUAUUAUUGCCCCAGGCUUGGGUGCUGUGUCUCUUUCAAAGCCAUUCUCCACACUCUGUCCACUAUCCCAUCAGCCUGCAGCACUGUGACCAGGUAAAUACCACAUUGUGUCAGAGGAUGGUUCCCAGCACUGGUCAGAGUAGGUUUUGUGUUUUAUUAACAGGAGUGUUUGGUGUAAUCGGGGAGGGGAAGACUGUGGCAUCGUCCAGAGGACGGUUUUCUUCGAGAGUGAUGCUAUGCUUUGGUCAUGAUUUCUAAUGGAGAGGUGCCAAAGGCAAGAUCUUGUAUGAUGUGAUUUGCAUCUCUAGUUCCUGAAAAUGAGGAUAGAGGCCUAGAGACCCCCACUCCCCCUAGGGCUUGGCUCAGCACAGCCAACCGUGAACUCUUCAUCUAAGCUCAUUAGGGACAAUGGAAAACUUGACUAUGCACAUUCAUCUUAGGUUGAGACAUUUCACACCUAUUGACAGGGUCCCUGGUCAGUGGUAAAGCAUGAUCCUGAUAAAACAGAGUUCUAGGAUCAUGAUUGCUGUCUCCUGUGAAGGCGUAAAAACACCUUUUGCCCAUGAGUUAAAUUAUUACUGUUACAUGGAAUGGAGGGGAAUUGGCACUUUGCCUGUUGAACAUCUGCUUUCCCUCCUAAGAGUACUGAUUGUCUCCUUUUAGGGGAAUUAGCUCUUCCCUCAUGCUGCAGCCUGGUGGGCCUGGAGAGAGGUACCCUGACCUCUAACCACAGAGAGAGCUUGCAAAGCAAAUUAAGCCAACACGACCCCGCCUCCCUGAAACAUGCGUUCUCCACAGACUCAGGGACUGAAGACUGGAGAGACCACAGGAGCAGCAACAUCCAGGGUCAGUGAUACCAAGUGUGGUUUGGAUAAUCAUGGUCCCCAUAGGCUCAUAGCUUUACAUGCCUGGCCACCAGUGAGUGGCUUUAUUUGAAAGGAGUAGGAGAUAUGUCCUUGUUGGAGGAAGUUUGUCACUGUGGGUGGGCUUUGAGGUUUCAAGAGGAAGCCUAAGCCAGGCCUAGUAGCUCUCUUUUCCUGCUGUCUGAAAAUUUGGGGUAGAGCUCUCAGCUACUUCUCUGUCUGUGUACCACAAUGCUCCCCGCUAUGAAGAAAAUGGACUUAACAUAUCUGGGUGGUGGUGGCACACAUCUUUAAUACCAGCAUUCAGGAGACAGAGUCAGGUGGAUCUCUGAGUUUGAGGCCAGCCUGGUCUACAUUGCGAGUUCCAGGACAGCCAGGGCUAUACAGAGAAACCCUGUCUUGAAAAACCAAAAGAGAAGAAAAAAAGAAAAGAAAAGAAAAGAAGAGAAGAGAAGAGAAGAGAAGAGAAGAGAAGAGAAGAGAAGAGAAAAGG